GACGAACGCUGGCGGCGUGCUUAACACAUGCAAGUCGAACGGAAAGGCCCUGCUUUUGUGGGGUGCUCGAGUGGCGAACGGGUGAGUAACACGUGAGUAACCUGCCCUUGACUUUGGGAUAACUUCAGGAAACUGGGGCUAAUACCGGAUAGGAGCUCCUGCUGCAUGGUGGGGGUGGGAAAGUAUCGGUGGUUGGGGAUGGACUCGCGGCUUAUCAGCUUGUUGGUGGGGUAGUGGCUUACCAAGGCUUUGACGGGUAGCCGGCCUGAGAGGGUGACCGGCCACAUUGGGACAGAGGUACGGCCCAGAGUCCUACGGGAGGCAGCAGUGGGGAACAGUGCACACUGGGCGGAAGCCGGAUGCAGCAACGCCGCGUGCUGGAUCACGGUCUUCGGGUUGUAACCCGCGUGCGCCUGUGACGAAGCGUGAGUGACGGUAAUGGGUAAAGAAGAACCGGCUAACUACGUG
rnacentral:rRNA from 1 species